UUCUACCUCGCAGUGCCCAGCAAAGUAGCCAAACAAAAAAAUGACAACAACAAUACAGAAGUAACAACCAAAAACGUCAAAGAAGACACCAUCGAACCACUACUAGGAGAAGAAAUCGCC
rnacentral:ribozyme from 1 species